GGUAGCUCAUCGCCCUUCUGUCUUAAUGUUGAAUGUUUAGCAAAAAGACCAGUUCUUGUCGUUGAAUCUCCCGUGGUCGAGCUUUAUCGCAUCGUAAUUCGAAUCUGGGUUGCUUGAUUCAUGUGGAGUUGUGGAGGUUUCAUCUUGGGUUGGAUGAGAUGAUUGUAUGAUGAUGAGAGACGUCUCGCGUUUUAUGGCUGAAACGAUUAUCGGCGAAUCUCAGUGAAGUGAGAAAGUUUAUCUUCUCGGAAAAGACGGUUCUUUUCUGUCCAUAUUUUUCAUUUGACACACUGUUGCGAUUCCAAUUUCCAUGCGGUGGUGCUCAUCGGAGUUUCCCGAGGGGUUCAGUAUGCAAAUAUGAGCUUCAAAAAGAGGCGAUAGACGAGUACAUAUUCGAUUCUUUAAAACUGCCAUAUAUGGCUUUCACUGAUGCGUUGAUGGAUUGGCGAGCUGUGAUCAGGUUAUAACUUCUGUUGGGGGUCUCUUUGCUUCAUAUCUGCGGAAGAAAAGGAAGCUUGUGGUGACUGUUUCUGGGUUAUAAUUCAUUUUUGCACCUCCUUUAGUGAUUGUAUGAACAAAUUGGCCAUAUUUCUGGACACGAGCAAUCAGUAAGUGGAGCAAAGCUCUACCCAAAUUGUUAAAUUGAAUUUGUGGUUUUCCAUUAGAUAUCUUGUGCUUGGAUGAAGAGCAAGCGGAAGUUGUGCUUAGGAAGCUGGUUUUAACCUGCCGAUGAGCAAGUUGUGCUGAGAAGGAAUACAUCUGAUCAUUACGCCUUUCUUUUAUGAUUGUUUUGCUUAAGGUAGAGCUUCUUUGCUUGUGAAGGGCUGCUUUUAUAUUGAUGAAGUUUUUCUUGUAGAUCCAUCAGUAAGAAUAGGAUGGUUCUUUGAUCAGACAUUGGAGCCAUCUGGCUGUGUCUAGUGAUUUUCUUUGCUUUUA